rnacentral:rRNA from 1 species
AGUGAACGCUGGCGGUAGGCCUAACACAUGCAAGUCGAACGGCAGCACAGUAAGAGCUUGCUCUUACGGGUGGCGAGUGGCGGACGGGUGAGGAAUACAUCGGAAUCUACUUUUUCGUGGGGGAUAACGUAGGGAAACUUACGCUAAUACCGCAUACGACCUUCGGGUGAAAGCAGGGGAUCUUCGGACCUUGCGCGAUUGAAUGAGCCGAUGUCGGAUUAGCUAGUUGGCGGGGUAAAGGCCCACCAAGGCGACGAUCCGUAGCUGGUGUGAGAGGAUGAUAAGCCACACUGGAACUGAGACACGGUCCAGACUCCUACGGGAGGCAGCAGUGGGGAAUAUUGGACAAUGGGCGCAAGCCUGAUCCAGCCAUACCGAGUGGGUGAAGAAGGCCUUCGGGUUGUAAAGCCCUUUUGUUGGGAAAGAAAAGCAGCAGGUUAAUACCCCGCUGUUCUGACGGUACCCAAAGAAUAAGCACCGGCUAACUUCGUG